rnacentral:rRNA from 1 species
AGUGGGGAAUAUUGCGCAAUGGGCGAAAGCCUGACGCAGCGACGCCGCGUGGGUGAUGAAGGCCUUCGGGUCGUAAAGCCCUGUCAAGAGGGACGAAACCUCGUCGACCUAACACGUCGGCGACCUGACGGUACCUCUGAAGGAAGCACCGGCUAACUCCGUGCCAGCAGCCGCGGUAAUACGGAGGGUGCAAGCGUUGUUCGGAAUCACUGGGCGUAAAGCGCGUGUAGGCGGCCUUCUCAGUCUGGUGUGAAAGCCCGGGGCUCACCCCCGGAAGUGCAUUGGAUACUGGAAGGCUGGAGUACCGGAGAGGAGGGUGGAAUUCCUGGUGUAGCGGUGAAAUGCGUAGAUAUCAGGAGGAACACCGGUGGCGAAGGCGGCCCUCUGGACGGAUACUGACGCUGAGACGCGACAGCGUGGGGAGCAAA